rnacentral:rRNA from 1 species
UACAGGGGUGCAAACGUUGCUCGGAAUCAUUGGGCGUAAAGCGCACGUAGGCGGUUCGUUAUGUCGGAUGUGAAAGCCCUUGGCUUAACCGAGGAAGUGCAUCCGAAACUGGCGAGCUAGAGUACGAAAGAGGAUCGCGGAAUUCCCGGUGUAGAGGUGAAAUUCGUAGAUAUCGGGAGGAACACCGGUGGCGAAGGCGGCGAUCUGGGUCGAUACUGACGCUGAGGUGCGAAAGCGUGGGGAGCAAACAGG